UAAACCGCGAUGAAGGCGAAGAAGGUGGCUCGGGAGUUUUUGGAUAGUGUAGGAAACACUUCGUGCCACCAGAGGCGGCCUUCAACAACCUGAAGUUCCUUGCAGCCUGUUCACAGCCAGAGGGGACAGGUGCACGCUGGUCUGCUCAGCAGCAUGCGGUAGAAAAAAGGGGUGUCCUCAGACUUACUCAUGGGAGAUGAAAGAGCAGAAAAUGAUAAAUGGAUGUAUGCUCCAGGCUCUAGAAGGUUGUUUUUAAUAUCUGACCAACUGUACAUUGUAUUGGUAUCAAGACAAAAAGUAACGACAGCUACGUUGAUGAAUGCAUUGUUUGGACACAGAGGAGGUGAUGGUACGUGACGUAGAGGAAUACGCAAGCUGACAGCAUGAAGGAACCCCAACCCCACCCUCAAAUCCUGUUGGUUACUGGUCCAGUGACGCAGGACGAACCAGAAAAUCUUUGACCUGAAACAAAAAAAAAUAAAAAAUAAAAAAUCAUGUGAAGGGGACCGGAUCCAGUCAGACACUCAACUCAGAAUGUGAAUGCAUUUGCAUUAUGUUGGAGAAUAUUUGCAUGAUAACCAGAGAAGAUGUGGAUUUAGUCAAUGCCCAAGUAUUUCAUCUCCAUCAUUUCACCUCUUGCUGCGUUAAUGAAAAAAAAAAAGGAAGUAAAGGAAAGACGCUUGGUGAGAAAGACGUGUUUUGCAGUACGAUGGAGAUUUCAUGCCGCACACUGUCUCUGCAAAUGAUCUGAUAACCCCGAUCUAGUCUUGUCCUUUUCUUUUUUUUUAUUUCAGGAGAGAGGGAUUCUGUCAGAUUUGGGAAAACUGGGCUUUUCUGUGUAUUCUCUAUUACUUGACCUCUAUUGUGUUAACAGUUGUUAAUUACUGGGUGAAUCUGUCUAUUGUGUUCACACCUUGCAGGUUCGCCUAUUCCCCUAUUGUUUUACACAAUAGCACAACAUAUAUUGAGAUUCUGUAGUAAUAAAAAAUACACGUUCUUGUGUA